AAGUUUUUCCUAAUGUCCAACUUAAACCUCCCUUGCUGCAAUUUAAGUCCAUUGCUUCUUGUCCUGUCCUCAGAGGUUAAGGAGAACAAUUUUUCUCCCUCCUCCUUGUCAAGCUUUUUAUGUACUUGAAAUCUGUUAUCUUGUCCCCU